rnacentral:rRNA from 7 species
UUAAAUUGAAGAGUUUGAUCAUGGCUCAGAUUGAACGCUGGCGGCAGGCCUAACACAUGCAAGUCGAGCGGUAACAGGAAAGUGCCUGCACUUUUGCUGACGAGCGGCGGACGGGUGAGUAAUGUCUGGGGAUCUGCCCGAGGGCGGGGGAUAACCACUGGAAACGGUGGCUAAUACCGCAUAAUGUCGCGAGACCAAAGUGGGGGACCUGAAAGGG